rnacentral:rRNA from 1 species
GACGAACGCUGGCGGCGUGCCUAAUACAUGCAAGUAGAACGCUGAAGGAGGAGCUUGCUUCUCUGGAUGAGUUGCGAACGGGUGAGUAACGCGUAGGUAACCUGCCUGGUAGCGGGGGAUAACUAUUGGAAACGAUAGCUAAUACCGCAUAAUAGCAGUUAUUGCAUGAUAACUGUUUGAAAGGUGCAAUUGCACCACUACCAGAUGGACCUGCGUUGUAUUAGCUAGUUGGUGGGGUAACGGCUCACCAAGGCGACGAUACAUAGCCGACCUGAGAGGGUGAUCGGCCACACUGGGACUGAGACACGGCCCAGACUCCUACGGGAGGCAGCAGUAGGGAAUCUUCGGCAAUGGACGGAAGUCUGACCGAGCAACGCCGCGUGAGUGAAGAAGGGUUUCGGAUCGUAAAGCUCUGUUGUAAGAGAAGAACGAGUGUGAGAGUGGAAAGUUCACACUGUGACGGUAUCUUACCAGAAAGGGGCGGCUAACUACGUG